GAUGAGUUCUCCCUGACUCCUUGAGAGUCCUGAAGGAACGUUGAAGACGACGACGUUGAUAGGCCGGGUGUGUAAGCGCAGCGAUGCGUUGAGCUAACCGGUACUAAUGAACCGUGAGGCUUAACCUUACAACGCCGAAGGUGUUU
rnacentral:rRNA from 1 species